rnacentral:rRNA from 1 species
CAAGUCGAGCGGAAAGGCCACUUCGGUGGUACUCGAGCGGCGAACGGGUGAGUAACACAUGAGUAAUCUGCCCCUGGCUUCGGGAUAGCCACCGGAAACGGUGAUUAAUACCGGAUAUGACACGGACUCGCAUGGGUUUGUGUGGAAAGUUUUUCGGCCAGGGAUGUGCUCGCGGCCUAUCAGCUUGAUGGUGAGGUAAUGGCUCACCAUGGCUUCGACGGGUAGCCGGCCUGAGAGGGUGACCGGCCACACUGGGACUGAGACACGGCCCAGACUCCUACGGGAGGCAGCAGUGGGGAAUAUUGGACAAUGGGCGGAAGCCUGAUCCAGCAACGCCGCGUGAGGGAUGACGGCCUUCGGGUUGUAAACCUCUUUCAGUACCGACGAAGCGCAAGUGACGGUAGGUACAGAAGAAGCACCGGCCAACUACGUGCCAGCAGCCGCGGUAAUACGUAGGGUGCGAGCGUUGUCCGGAAUUAUUGGGCGUAAAGGGCUCGUAGGCGGUUUGUCGCGUCGGGAGUGAAAACGCCGUGCUUAACACGGCGCUUGCUUCCGAUACGGGCAGACUAGAGGUAUUCAGGGGAGAACGGAAUUCCUGGUGUAGCGGUGAAAUGCGCAGAUAUCAGGAGGAACACCGGUGGCGAAGGCGGUUCUCUGGGAAUGACCUGACGCUGAGGAGCGAAAGUGUGGGGAGCGAACAGGAUUAGAUACCCUGGUAGUCCACACCGUAAACGUUGGGCGCUAGGUGUGGGGUCCAUUCCACGGAUUCCGUGCCGCAGCUAAC